rnacentral:rRNA from 1 species
GACGAACGCUGGCGGCGUGCCUAAUACAUGCAAGUAGAACGCUGAAGGAGGAGCUUGCUUCUCUGGAUGAGUUGCGAACGGGUGAGUAACGCGUAGGUAACCUGCCUGGUAGCGGGGGAUAACUAUUGGAAACGAUAGCUAAUACCGCAUAAUAGCAGUUGUUGCAUGACAAUUGUUUGAAAGGUGCAAUUGCACUACUACCAGAUGGACCUGCGUCGUAUUAGCUAGUUGGUGGGGUAACGGCUCAACAAGGCGACGACACAGAGCCGACCUGAGGAGGUGGACCGCCACACUGGGAAUGGGACACGGCCCAAGCUCCCACGGGAGGCAGCAGUAGGGAAUCUUCGGCAAUAGAGGGAAGUCUGGCCGGGCAACGCCGCGUGGGUGAAGAAGGUUUUCGGAUCGUAAAGCUCUGUUGUAAGGGAAGAACGAGUGUGAGAGUGGAAAGUUCACGCUGUGACGGUAUCUUACCAGAAAGGGACGGCUAACUACGUG